rnacentral:lncRNA from 1 species
AAGAGAUCAACCCAAAGUUUAGAAUCUGUAAGGGUUCUAUCACCUGGUAUCAGAGCAGCGUUCUUGGCAUCUCGCUGCCCUUCCACUGCCAUCCAUCAGCCCUCCACAACCGCCCAAAGCAAUUCCCACAAUUGCUUAAAAGAUCGUCGCCGAAUUUCGCCAUCAUCUCCACCACCGCGGAUCAUCCUUUGAUCUCCCCGUGAAUUGCAACAGGUUCUGGUUUCCUACCUUACUGCUGCUGCAAUUUAGUUAUCCUUAUUCAAAAAUCUAAAAAAAA